rnacentral:rRNA from 1 species
GAUGAACGCUGGCGGCGUGCCUAAUACAUGCAAGUCGAGCGAACGGACGAGAAGCUUGCUUCUCUGAUGUUAGCGGCGGACGGGUGAGUAACACGUGGAUAACCUACCUAUAAGACUGGGAUAACUUCGGGAAACCGGAGCUAAUACCGGAUGAUAUUUUGAACCGCAUGGUUCAAAAGUGAAAGACGGUCUCGCUGUCACUUAUAGAUGGAUCCGCGCUGCAUUAGCUAGUUGGUAAGGUAACGGCUUACCAAGGCAACGAUGCAUAGCCGACCUGAGAGGGUGAUCGGCCACACUGGAACUGAGACACGGUCCAGACUCCUACGGGAGGCAGCAGUAGGGAAUCUUCCGCAAUGGGCGCAAGCCUGACGCAGCAACGCCGCGUGAGUGAUGAAGGUCUUCGGAUCGUAAAACUCUGUUAUUGGGGAAGAACAUAUGUGUAAGUAACUGUGCACAUCUUGACGGUACCUAAUCAGAAAGCCACGGCUAACUACGUG